UGAUUGAUGGUGCUUGCACCUGAUUGAUCCCGUUUCGCCAACGAGUGGCGGACGGGUGAGUAACACGUAGGUCACCUGCCCAGAAGCGGGGGACAACAUUUGGAAACAGAUGCUAAUACCGCAUAACAACGUUGUUCGCAUGAACAACGCUUAAAAGAUGGCUUCUCGCUAUCACUUCUGGAUGGACCUGCGGUGCAUUAGCUUGUUGGUGGGGUAAUGGCCUACCAAGGCGAUGAUGCAUAGCCGAGUUGAGAGACUGAUCGGCCACAAUGGGACUGAGACACGGCCCAUACUCCUACGGGAGGCAGCAGUAGGGAAUCUUCCACAAUGGGCGCAAGCCUGAUGGAGCAACACCGCGUGAGUGAAGAAGGGUUUCGGCUCGUAAAGCUCUGUUGUUAAAGAAGAACACGUAUGAGAGUAACUGUUCAUACGUUGACGGUAUUUAACCAGAAAGUCACGGCUAACUACGUGCCAGCAGCCGCGGUAAUACGUAGGUGGCAAGCGUUAUCCGGAUUUAUUGGGCGUAAAGAGAGUGCAGGCGGUUUUCUAAGUCUGAUGUGAAAGCCUUCGGCUUAACCGGAGAAGUGCAUCGGAAACUGGAUAACUUGAGUGCAGAAGAGGGUAGUGGAACUCCAUGUGUAGCGGUGGAAUGCGUAGAUAUAUGGAAGAACACCAGUGGCGAAGGCGGCUACCUGGUCUGCAACUGACGCUGAGACUCGAAAGCAUGGGUAGCGAACAGGAUUAGAUACCCUGGUAGUCCAUGCCGUAAACGAUGAGUGCUAGGUGUUGGAGG
rnacentral:rRNA from 1 species